GACGAACGCUGGCGGCGUGCUUAACACAUGCAAGUCGAACGGAAAGGCCCUGCUUUUGUUGGUUGCUCGAGUGGCUAACGGGUGAGUAACACUUGAGUAACCUGCCCUUGACUUUGUUAUAUCUUCAGGUAACUGGGUCUAAUACCUUAUAGGAUCUCCUUCUUCAUGUUGUGUGUUGGAAAGUUUCGGCGGUUGGGGAUGGACUCGCUGCUUAUCAGCUUGUUGGUGGUGUAGUGGCUUACCAAGGCUUUGACGGGUAGCAGGCAUGAGAGGGUGACCGGAGAGAUGGGGACUGAGAUACGGCCCAGACUGAUACGGGAGGAAGCAGUGGGGAAUAUUGCAAAAUGGGCGGAAGCCUGAUGCAGCAACGCGGCGUGCGGGAUGACGGCCUUCGGGUUGUAAACAGAUUUCGCAUGUGACGAAGAGUGAGUGACGGUAAUGGGUAAAGAAGCACCGGCUAACUACGUG
rnacentral:rRNA from 1 species